UUUCCGUAGGUGAACCUGCGGAAGGAUCAUUAUUGUAUAACGGAGGAGCGAGGGUUGUCGCUGACCCGACAGGUCGUGCACGCUAGAGGGCCCUCACAUACAUGCAUAUCAACCCCAUGUGAACCACCGCGUGGGAACCCCUUUGGUGUGAAAGGUGGGGGGGUUACGUUUUCACAUAAAAUUUGUAUGCAGUGUAGAAUGUAUUUUUUGUUUGUGGGAUAACGCAACAAAUAAAACUUUCAACAACGGAACUCUCGGCUCUUGCAUCGCUGAAGAAAG
rnacentral:misc_RNA from 1 species